ensembl:misc_RNA Metazoa_SRP Metazoan signal recognition particle RNA
GCCGGGCGUGGUGGCAGGCGCCUGUAAUCCCAGCUACUUGGGAGGCUGAGGCAGGAGAAUUGCUUGAACCCAGGAGACAGAGGUUGCAGUGAGCUGAGAUCGCGCCACUGCAGUCCAGCCUGGGUGACAGAGCAAGACUCCGUCUCAA